UUCCACAGCCAUACCACCCUGUAGUUCAACAAUGGUUACUCACUGAAGCUAAGCAGGGCUGAGCCUGGUCAGUACCUGGAUGCGAGACCACAUGGGAAAACUAGGUUGCAUAGAAC
ensembl:rRNA 5S_rRNA 5S ribosomal RNA